rnacentral:rRNA from 1 species
GACGAACGCUGGCGGCGUGCUUAACACAUGCCAGUCGAACGGAAAGUUUCUGGUUUUGUGGGGUGCUCGAGUGGCGAACGGGUGAGUAACAAGUGAGUAAACUGCCCUUGACUUUGGGAUAACUUCAGGAAACUGGGGCUAACUACGGAUAGGAGAUCCUACUGCAUGGUGGGGGUUGGAAUGUUUCGGCGGUUGGGGAUGGACGGGAGGCUUAUCAGCUUGUUGGUCGGGAAGUGGCGUACCAAAGCCGCGCCAGGUCGCCGGCCUGUGAGGGUGACCGGCGACAUUGCGACUGCGAGACGGACCAGACGCGUACGUUAGGCAGCGGUCGGAAAUAUUGCGGAAUGGGCGGAAGCCUGAGGCAGAAACGCCGGGUGCGUAAUGACGUCCUUCGGGUUGUGAACGGCUUUCGCCUGUGACGAAGCGUGAGUGACGGUAAUGAGUAAAGAAGCAACGGCUAACUACGUG